rnacentral:rRNA from 1 species
GACGAACGCUGGCGGCGUGCCUAAUACAUGCAAGUCGAGCGGAAGUUGGAGAGCUUGCUCUUCAACUUUAGCGGCGGACGGGUGAGUAACACGUGGGCAACCUGCCCUGCAGAUCGGGAUAACUCCGGGAAACCGGUGCUAAUACCGAAUAGUUUUCGCCACCUCCUGGUGGCGUACGGAAAGACGGUUGCGGCUGUCACUGCAGGAUGGGCCCGCGUGGCAUUAGCUUGUUGGUGGGGUAACGGCCCACCAAGGCGACGCUGCGUAGCCGACCUGAGAGUGUGAUCGGACACACUGGGACUGCGACACGGCCGAGACUCCUGCGAGAGGCAGCAGUAUGGAAUCUUCCGCAGUGGACGAAAGUCUGACGGAGCAACGCCGCGUGAGUGACGAAGGUUUUCGGAUCGUAAGACUCUGUUGUGAGGGAAGAACAAGUACCACUUAACUACUGGUACCUUGACGGUACCUCACCAGAAAGCCACGGCUAACUACGUGCCAGCAGCCGCAGUAAAAC